rnacentral:rRNA from 1 species
UACGUAGGUGACAAGCGUUGUCCGGAUUUACUGGGCGUAAGGAGCGCGCAGGCGGUCGAUCAAGUCGAGUGUGAAAGCCCCGGCUCAACUGGGAGGUCAUUCGAUACUGACUCGACUCGAAGGCAGGAGAGGGAAGUGGAAUUCCGGUGACGUGGUGAAAUGACGCAGAUAUCAAGGAGGAACACCGGUGGCGAAGGCGGUUCUCUGGGCAGUAACUGACGCUGGAGGAGCGAAAGCGUGGGAGCGAACAGG